UGAAUGUAGCAUCUGAUACGAGAGGGCCAGGCAUUUUGCACAUCCGUGUCUGCGGCGUUGGCCUCCCUCAGGGGCUUGGGGAAGAUCCACCCAUAAGGAAGGAACUUCCAGAGAGACAAGAAAUCGGGAGCCUGACCUCGUGAUUCCCACAGCACCUGGCAAGGAAGAAAGAAGAGAAGGACCAUGGCAGUGAAAGAGAAGUGAGCCAUUGCGGCCACACUUUGAGUACAAGCAUCCUUUGUUCUAAGAGUCCCCACCACUCCCGCCGGUCAGACGCCCCGUGGUCCGGUCCUGAGCAGCGAAGCCUUCUGACCCCACCAUGAGCUGGGACUACAGCCCUGUUCCGUCUCGCUUGUUCCCUGGCACCCCUUUUGGAGUUGGUCAGUCAUUCAGUCUACAAACAUUUAUUGGGCAUCCCGCACGAGCAGAGUGCCGUGCUGCGUGGCUACUGGGAAAAGUCAAGAAAAUGUUGGUGCUGCCUUCAGGAGAAAACACUCUCCCACCACAAACACCCAGAGAGCUGCUUCCUACAAGUUCAAAAGAACUCCGUCUCAGAACCAAAGGGGUAACGGGGAGCCAAACAGGGUGGGCUUUAUCAGAAAAGUCUUCUUGAAAUGGGGAGAUGGGAGCCUAACUUUGAUUCUCAGUAGGGCUGUCCCAGCUGAACAAAUAAGUGCCCAGGGCUGGGAAGCUCAUCCUGGCAGUGGGACCCAGAAUUCCCCCGCCACCUCUGCCAGGAAGCUGCCUUGUGAAUCCCGGGCUGCCCCUUCCCCUCUGGGCCAACUGGGCGAUAAGGACGGGGGACCAGCCCCAGCAAGGAGGAAGUGGCCUGGCUUCCUGUUUGUUUGUGAAUCUCAGAGCAGCACCGUGCAGCCAUGAACCCCAGCUAAGCAGAACAAGCCCAGCCUGAGCCCAGAGUUCCAGGGAGACCCACCAACCAACCCAGCAAGCCCUCAACCAUCUGGAACUCCAGAGCAGAGACCCAUCCCAGGGCAGCCACACUUGGAGGGCUAGCCUGGUAGCAGCCGUGCCAGGUCGGUGGAGUAAUGACUUCCCCAGAGAAGUCAGAGUCACACAUUCAUAAUAUGAAGCCUCUGGGCAGCUCCAGGGGCUCAAGCAAUACCAUCUCCCCACCCCAAAGAUUAUUUCCUGGGACCCUGGACACAACCCUUUUGCCUUGUAAGAAAGCCUUGUGCAGAGAUUGGACCCUUUGAAAAAUGGGGCAGCCUUCAUUGUGGUUUUGUUUGCAACAGCAAAACACACGAAAAACCACCAGCAAGUCAUCCAAAAGCCGAUUUGUGACAAAAAAACAUGAUAGAUCCAUACCGGGGGAAACGCUGUAGCCAUUAAAAACAAUGGGGUGGAUUUGUUUGUGCUACUGUGGUGAGAUGUCCAAGAUAUUUCAGUAAAUGAAAGCAGCAAGAUACAGAACAGCGUGAUCCCUUUUCUGCAAAUAAUGAACAGCAGAGGACAUGUUCAUAUAGGCUUAGAGAUGUAUGUGCUCCAGAAUGCGUGACUUUUUUUUUUUUUUUUUUUUUUACUGGAAGGAAAUUUAAGUAACCUAACAGCGGUUAUUUUGGGGAGAGGAACUGUGAAAGAAAAGUGGUGGGAAGGCAUUCAGUGUUCAUUAUGUAUCUUCCUGUACCAUUUGCAUUUUAAAGUGAUGUAUAUAUGAUAUUGAGAUAGAUAUACAUAUUUUUAAAAUAUUACCUGUGGGCAAUGGGAUUAUGGUCCAUUCUGUUUAAUUCUUUGUCUUUCUCUGUAUCAUUUAAAAUAAAAAAUAUCAAAGCAAUAAGUAUUAUUUUUAAGCCAAUUUAAAGAAUCGGGCAGUAUGCAUUUGCAAGAUGAAACAGGGUAGAGCUAGGAUCAUACGUUCUCCAGGACAACUGAUGGAGGCGAUGGGGAAAGUGCUUUGCUUUAAGAUCUGUACACAUCAGUAACAACGGAGCCAUCUGACAUUCCACUUUGUGGAUUCCUUAUGGCAAAUGUUUGAGCUGUCUCUGGUUUCCUUUAACCACUCCCUUUCCCUGUGUCUUCCCCCAUUUCAUGGCCUCAUCAUUUAACUUUCUUUUUUUUUUUUGCGGUACGCGGGGCUCUCACUGUUGUGGCCUCUCCCGUUGCGGAGCACAGGCUCCAGAC